AUCCCCGUAGCUCAGCGGAUCAGAGCACCAGACUACGAAUCUGGGGGUCGGCGGUUCGAAUCCGUCCGGGGAUA
rnacentral:tRNA from 1 species